rnacentral:rRNA from 1 species
AAACAAAACUUUGCCCGAGAAGAUUCCCAAGAUGACGUCAAGAAACUUCUGGAUUUCUUCGAGAAGAUGUAGAAGAUAAACCCAGAGUUCUUCUAUGAUUAUGACGCCAACGCAAGUUGCAAAGGAUCGUAUGAAGAUUUUGGAGACUGCGUUACAUUUGACACGACAUAUAAAACUAACAAAUUCCACAUGCCGCUAGGAGUCUUCGUGGGAGUGAACCAUCAUCUACAGAGCACCAUACUUGUUGUUGCCCUCGUGCGAGAUGAAACAAUAUCGUCGUUCGAGUGGGUUUUCAAAACAUUUCUGAGGUGUAUGAACAACAAACUGCCAAUCUGCAUGCUCACAGACCAGUGUUCUUCAAUGAAGGCAGCAUUAAAAACUAUCCUCCCAGAUACACUGCAUAAGUUGUGUCGGUGGCAUAUCAUGAAGAAGUACAAAGACCACCUCGCCUUGUUGUAUAAGGCGCACGAGAAACUCAAGGAUGACCUCAAUGCAGUGUUGAACCACCCACUAAUGCCGUCAGAAUUUGAACGACCAUGGAAGGACCUCAUUCAGAGAUACAACUUGCAAAACGACGAAGUGAUGAAUUCGUUGUGGGAUGACAGGCACGAGUGGAUCUCGGCUUACUACAUGGAAAUUUUCUGUGCUCGGAUGACUUCCGCGCAGAGAAGCGAGAGCAUGAACCGCAUACUGAAGAAAAAAUUUGUCAAAGAGAAGCAUGAUCUCAAUCUGUUUGCUCAGCAGGUAGACAAGUGCAUUCAGACCAGGAAGGCCGUCGAGCACGCAGAGAUAGUAGCAAAUGAGGUAAACAAAAUGUCGAUCAAAAACAACUAA